GGAGCUAAAGAGGGGAGGCCGGCGAGUUAAGGAGGUCCGGCCGCGCUGGUGCGUGCUGUGCGCGGCUGCCAUUUUGGAGUCGGGCAGCUGAGACAAGCGGCCGGGUUCGGCCGAAGAGGGAGGAGCCAGUCAGCCUAAACAGAAUGUUCACUCCGUACCUGGCCACGGGAGCGAUGAAGAGGGAGAUGUGUGAAGAAAGGAAUGGAGACUGGUGUGGGCUAUCACCGGUAGGAAGUAGGAGAUUCGAGGAGCUGCGGAGCCGGAGCAGGAACGCCUUGAGAAAGGAGGUGCAACUGACCAAUUACUUUUGGAGACCAUAGGAGAAAGACACAGCCUUGCCAGCUAGAAGAUGCUUAGAAAGACGGAAGACUCACCCACGUGCCAGUAGUUCACUAACUAGCCUUUCCUCAAACAGCCAGACCAUAGGAAGAAUUAAGUCCCCCAAAGGCCCUUCUUGGUGAUGUCUGUGGAGGGGGUAAUUGUGCCUGUGAGAUUUUUCACCUGGAGACCAAGGGUGGCCUCUUAGGUCCUGGGCACAGUCAGAAAUUUCCUUCCCCUGUGUGAGAAUACAGAGAGCCAGGAAAAACAAAACAGUGUCAUUUAUCCCCGAAUCCCUGUAAGGCCUGCUGUACAGUUCCACAGAAUGAAGCAGAUUUAACAACUACAAAUAAGCCAGCCUUGUAUAGAUCCAUGGCAUUGAACUGAGACGGCCGGGCUGGCAGGAUGGUGUAGUAGGUUGAGCUACUUGCUACCAAGCCUCAAGUGAGAUCUCAGGAGCCGUGUGGUGGAAGGAGAAAACUGACUCCUGAAAGUUGCUCUUUAAUCUCCACAUGCACACCAAGGCUCAAGAAAGUGCUCAGGCACACACAUGUCUGUAUACAUACACACUUGUGCCUGCACACACACACACACACACACACACACACACACACCUAUGACACACUUUGAAUAAAAAAAAUAUAAUGAUUUUUUUUUUCUUUUUG
rnacentral:lncRNA from 1 species